CGGUUCGAGUCCGCUUACCUCCACUGAUCCACCUCCUGAUGACGAAGCCUAAGGAGAUUUUUUGAUGUGAUCUAGAUUUGUUCUACGAGAAUGAACCUAGCUUCUUAUCAGCAAUACUAAUUAUUUAAUUUGUUUGCUCGAUAGGACGCUGGGCUCACUGCAAUUUUCAUUGCAGAGAUCUUCAGCA
rnacentral:misc_RNA from 1 species